rnacentral:rRNA from 1 species
GAUGAACGCUGGCGGCGUGCCUAAUACAUGCAAGUCGAGCGAACAGAUAAGGAGCUUGCUCCUUUGACGUUAGCGGCGGACGGGUGAGUAACACGUGGGUAAUCUACCUAUAAGACUGGAAUAACUCCGGGAAACCGGGGCUAAUGCAGGAUAACAUGUUGAACCGCAUGGUUCUACAGUGAAAGGCGGCUUUGCUGUCACUUAUAGAUGGACCCGCGCCGUAUUAGCUAGUUGGUGAGGUAACGGCUCACCAAGGCAACGAUACGUAGCCGACCUGAGAGGGUGAUCGGCCACACUGGAACUGAGACACGGUCCAGACUCCUACGGGAGGCAGCAGUAGGGAAUCUUCCGCAAUGGGCGAAAGCCUGACGGAGCAACGCCGCGUGAGUGAUGAAGGUCUUCGGAUCGUAAAACUCUGUUAUUAGGGAAGAACAAAUGCGUAAGUAACUGUGCGCGUCUUGACGGUACCUAAUCAGAAAGCCACGGCUAACUACGUG